GGAGAGCUGGCCGAGUCCGGUUCAAGGCGGCGGACCGCUAAUCCGCAGCAAGGGGAAACCUUUGUCGGGGGUUCAAAUCCCUCGCUCUCCG
rnacentral:tRNA from 1 species